UACAGAGGUGGCAAGCGUUGUUCGGAAUUACUGGGCGUAAAGGGCGCGUAGGCGGUCCCGUCAGUCCCUUGUGAAAUCCCACGGCUCAACCGUGGACGUGCAUCCAAAACUGCGUCGCUAGAGUCUCGGAGAGGAAGGUGGAAUGCUUGGUGUAGAGGUGAAAUUCGUAGAUAUCAAGCAGAACACCUGCGGCGAAGGCGGCCUUCUGGACGAUGACUGACGCUGAGACACGAAAGCGUGGGGAGCAAACAGG
rnacentral:rRNA from 1 species